CCUACGGGAGGCAGCAGUGAGGAAUAUUGGUCAAUGGGCGCGAGCCUGAACCAGCCAAGUCGCGUGAGGGAAGACUGUCCUAUGGAUUGUAAACCUCUUUUGUCGGGGAGCAAAAUACUCCACGCGUGGCGUUCCGUGAGUACCCGAAGAAAAAGCAUCGGCUAACUCCGUGCCAGCAGCCGCGGUAAUACGGAGGAUGCGAGCGUUAUCCGGUUUUAUUGGGUUUAAAGGGUGCGCAGGCGGAAGAUCAAGUCAGCGGGAAAAUUGAGAGGCUAAACCUCUUAGAGCCGUUGAAACUGGUUUUCUUGAGUGAGUGAGAGGUAUGCGGAAUGCGUGGUGUAGCGGUGAAAUGCAUAGAUAUCACGCAGAACUCCGAGUGCGAAGGCAGCAUACCGGCGCUCAACUGACGCUCAUGCACGAAAGUGUGGGUAUCGAACAGGAUUAGAUACCCUGGUAGUC
rnacentral:rRNA from 1 species